UACAGAGGUCUCAAGCGUUGUUCGGAUUCAUUGGGCGUAAAGGGUGCGUAGGCGGCGCGGUAAGUCGGGUGUGAAAUCUCGGAGCUUAACUCCGAAACUGCAUUCGAUACUGCCGUGCUUGAGGACUGGAGAGGAGACUGGAAUUUACGGUGUAGCAGUGAAAUGCGUAGAGAUCGUAAGGAAGACCAGUGGCGAAGGCGGGUCUCUGGACAGUUCCUGACACUGAGACACGAAGGCCAGGGGAGCAAACGGG
rnacentral:rRNA from 1 species